AAAGUCGUAACAAGGUUUCCGUAGGUGAACCUGCGGAAGGAUCAUUAUCAAGUAUAACUCCGAGGCGUAAGCCGAGGUUAUGUGCGAGGGAUUAUUCUCUUGACACGAGCGCGUAAUUGUUUGUCAGUCUUAGUUACCAUCAAAUAUAAUACAACUCCUAACAAUGGAUCUCUUGGCUCUU
rnacentral:misc_RNA from 1 species